rnacentral:rRNA from 1 species
UACAGGGGGUGCAAACGUUGCUCGGAAUCAUUGGGCGUAAAGCGCACGUAGGCGGUCUGUUAUGUCGGAUGUGAAAGCCCUUGGCUUAACUGAGGAAGUGCAUCCGAAACUGGCAGGCUAGAGUACUAAAGAGGGUCGCGGAAUUCCCGGUGUAGAGGUGAAAUUCGUAGAUAUCGGGAGGAACACCGGUGGCGAAGGCGGCGACCUGGGUAGAUACUGACGCUGAGGUGCGAAAAGCGUGGGGAGCAACAGG